rnacentral:rRNA from 1 species
AGGGCACCGCCAGGAGUGGAGCCUGCGGCUUAAUUUGACUCAACACGGGAAAUCUCACCAGGCCCGGACACUGGAAGGAUUGACAGAUUGAGAGCUCUUUCUCGAUUCGGUGGGUGGUGGUGCAUGGCCGUUCUUAGUUGGUGGAGUGAUUUGUCUGGUUAAUUCCGAUAACGAACGAGACUCUGUCCUGCUAAAUAGUUCCCGCGUCCUUUGUUGCGCGGGAAAUUCUUCUUAGAGGGACUGGCGGCGUCUAGCCGCACGAGAUUGAGCAAUAACAGGUCUGUGACGCCCUUAGAUGUUCUGGGCCGCACGCGCGCUACACUGAAGGGAUCAGCGUGUCUUCCCUUCCCGAGAGGGACGGGUAACCCGCUGAACCCCCUUCGUGGUAGGGAUCGGGGCUUGCAAUUAUUCCCCGUGAACCAGGAAUUCCCAGUAAGCGCAAGUCAUAAGCUUGCGUUGAUUACGUCCCUGCCCUUUGUACACACCGCCCGUCGCUACUACCGAUUGAACGUUUUAGUG